ensembl:lncRNA
CCCCCUUACCCCCCAAAGUUCCGCCAGCAUCACAUCCCGGCUGCGCUUUGCCCCGCGUGGAACCACCCUAAAGCACGCCCCGUGCUGCUUUCUCAGCCCUACUUCCCUCCUGAGAGCUGCUCGGUAAGCCCGGCUGUGGGGCCGUCACAGACCCCCGCCAGGAGCGAGCCCACCUUGGGCAUCUGGGAAGGUUCCAGAAGCGCGGUGUGGCCGUGGGAGCGCCCCAUGCGCCCACCUCCUGCCGGGGGCUGCGCCGGGGAGGGGUCUGUCAGGAUCCAGCCCCAACGCUGAGCGGCCCAGGAGGUGGUGGUGGUCCCAUCGCUGGGCGUCUGUGGGGCCGUGACAAGGGCUCGGCUCCCCUUGGGCACCAUCCGGGCUCUGGCUGUAGGUCGGAGCGGUCACAGAACCUGAACACCACCUGAAUGUGGUUUUUGCCACGCCGCUCGCACCGGGGUGGUUAUAAGACAUCCGUGUUGCUGAAGGAAGCCAAAAAGGAUGGGAGUUGGUGAUGCUUCCUUUCAACAAGCCCCUUCCUCCUGCAGCGUUGCAGCAACAGCUGCCUGCCCAGCGUAGAUGUUAAAAACCCUUGAUGCAGCAGGACGGGGUGGUUCUGCUCUCUAAUAAGCUAGAUAAAUUACACAGAAUUGGCCAAGAGGGGCCAUCAUCUUGGAGGAGAAAGGGAACAAGAGUGUUUGAGGAGACCUUGAUUUCAAACGUUGCCGUGCGAGUCUGCCACUUGCCCUAACCAAGCACCUCCUGAAGGUGUGAAAUACAUGGCUUAAAGCCUUUUUUCCCCCACGGAGCUUUGGCGGGAAGGAAAUGGUUAUUCAGAACGGUGCGUUUCGCGUGUUUCUUAAGCGGUCUUUCCUAUCGAUGGUGUAGCCCUAAUAUUAAAAUAGCUGGAACGCGUGUCUCUGCACCUCGCAUACCGCAUUUAAAAACGAGAGCAUCAUGGGCGAAAUCCUAGGUGGUAGGUCUGGGGAAGGGUGGGGUGUUUUACGGCUCCAACCCGCCUGGCAGGUGAAUAACGUCUUCCCAAAUACCUGGGUCUUGCAGGUCUCCACCAUGGCUGGCGCCGCCAGGGCUGCCCUCCCACAUGUGGCUCGGUGCGACACGUGCUGCUUUUGUUGGCUUCGCAAAUGGGCAGGGGAAAGAAAAAAGGUAAGCGUUUCCUCCUCCUGAAAUCUGCACUUUCUGUUUUCCUUUCUUGCAAGCCGAAAUAUUUCUCGCUUCCCAUGCAUUUAAUGUACUGCAUCGUUUGACAGAAGGGCUAGCCACUGGAGGAGGGUGCAAUCACCGUAUCCCCUCUUUCAAGAUUGUGCUUCUUGGUUUUAGUUGAAUGUAUUCAUGGCCUCUGAAUAGAUAGUGCUGCAUGGUUUCUCUGUAGCUGUGUGCCCAGCUUGGGAACUGCACGCAGGGGAACUCGAAAUAUCUUGCAUUUUAUUGUAAUUUUCUUACUGCAGAUUGCUCUCCGAAAGUGGUGAUAAAACAUUAGUGCUCAUAGUGCAUGGCAAAAAACCAUCUUUAUAAUCAGUACUGCACUUGCAUCGUGCGGGUUUAGGACUGCCUCCAAGCAAACAGGGGAUGUGAAUGUCUGUCCUUGUGUGCGCUUGUGUUACAAUAUAGUCUUGCUGUAUGCAUUUAAAUGUAGAGGUAUGCACUCCUGCUGCCUUGUCACAGAUGUAAGGGAAAAGCCCUGCUACUGGCUCCAGAUCCUUUUCAGCUGCUUACACCAGCUGUGUGUUAUGGUUAAAAGUUUAGAAACAGAGGAAGGUCGUGUACCUCCUUUUGGAAGGAACAGACGGAAUAGUUAUUUUUCCCCCAUCUCUUUUUUCAUCCAUUACUAUGUAUGCAAAUGACUGCUAGUGUUGCACUGUGAAGACUACUGUAUUAUAUAGGGAAAGAUAAUUUCUGCUGUUUUUCCUGCAGUAAUACCCACAGAACCAGGUUGCAUCACUAUUUGCAGAAAGACAGGCACACGAAGUAGAAAGGAACAAGAGGGGUGUGAGCAGUUUUUUUGGAAGUGCUACGUAAGCCAGUCUGUGGCUUCAGCAGGCAGCAUUCAGAAUAGGGUGGAUGGGCCUUUCUCUUCCCCAAAUUCACUUCAAAACUGAAAAUAAAAUUUGCCUAUGACAUUCA